UACAGAGGGUGCGAGCGUUGUCCGGAAUCACUGGGCGUAAAGGGCGCGUAGGCGGCCUGAUAAGUAGGGGGUGAAAUCUUGCGGCUCAACCGCAAGGCUGCCUUCUAAACUGUCAGGCUGGAGCACGGUAGAGGCAGAUGGAAUUCCCGGUGUAGCGGUGGAAUGCGUAGAGAUCGGGAAGAACACCAGUGGCGAAGGCGGUCUGCUGGGCCGUUGCUGACGCUGAGGAGCGAAAGUGUGGGGAGCGAACAGG
rnacentral:rRNA from 1 species